rnacentral:rRNA from 1 species
AGUGAACGCUGGCGGUAGGCCUAACACAUGCAAGUCGAACGGCAGCACAGUAAGAGCUUGCUCUUACGGGUGGCGAGUGGCGGACGGGUGAGGAAUACAUCGGAAUCUACUUUUUCGUGGGGGAUAACGUAGGGAAACUUCCGCUAAUACCGCAUACGACCUACGGGUGAAAGCAGGGGAUCUUCGGACCUUGCGCGAUUGAAUGAGCCGAUGUCGGAUUGGCUAGUUGGCGGGGUAAAGGCCCACCAAGGCGACGAUCCGUAGCUGGUCUGAGAGGAUGAUCAGCCACACUGGAACUGAGACACGGUCCAGACUCCUACGGGAGGCAGCAGUGGGGAAUAUUGGACAAUGGGCGCAAGCCUGAUCCAGCCAUACCGCGUGGGUGAAGAAGGCCUUCGGGUUGUAAAGCCCUUUUGUUGGGAAAGAAAAGCAGCAGGUUAAUACCCCGCUGUCCCGACGGUACCCAAAGAAUAAGCACCGGCUAACUUCGUG